rnacentral:misc_RNA from 2 species
AUGAGUUAGGGUUUUCAUAAGCCCGAUCUCCAACCCUUUGUAUAAUCACCAUGUUGCUUUGGCGGGCCCGUCUCUAACCAGACCGCCGGGGGUUUCGACCUCUGGCCAGCGCUCGUCAGUAGCCCACAAUACACUCUUAUAAAUAUGUUAAAUCUGAAAUAUAGUUAAAUAAACUA